AACGAACGCUGGCGGCAUGCCUAACACAUGCAAGUCGAACGAGACCUUCGGGUCUAGUGGCGCACGGGUGCGUAACGCGUGGGAACCUGCCUUUAGGUUCGGAAUAACUCAGAGAAAUUUGAGCUAAUACCGGAUAAUGUCUUCGGACCAAAGAUUUAUCGCCUUUAGAUGGGCCCGCGUAAGAUUAGCUAGUUGGUGGGUAAAGGCCUACCAAGGCGACGAUCUUUAGCUGGUCUGAGAGGAUGAUCAGCCACACUGGGACUGAGACACGGCCCAGACUCCUACGGGAGGCAGCAGUGGGGAAUAUUGGGACCAAAUAGGGCGGAAAGGACCUGAUCCAGCAAUGCCGCGUGAGUGAUGAAGG
rnacentral:rRNA from 1 species